rnacentral:ncRNA from 1 species
CUAUACAUGAUGAUUGGGAAAAGUAAGCACAGGAAUUUUACAGAGAGAAUGACCAAGGGCUGGAAGUCAUUUAGAAGGAAUGUGUUGAACAUGCACCCAGGAGUCUUGCUUUGAAUGCAUAUGCGUAGUAGGAGUGAGCGGCAGACCACGUUAAGGUUAGAGAGAUCCAGGUUUUUGCCUGGAAAACAGAGUGGAACCGUGCAAUCUUGUGCCUCUGUA